rnacentral:misc_RNA from 1 species
GAUGAAGAACGUAGCGAAAUGCGAUAAGUAAUGUGAAUUGCAGAAUUCAGUGAAUCAUCGAAUCUUUGAACGCACCUUGCACCCUUUGGCAUUCCGAAGGGUAUGCUCGUUUGAGUGUCAUUGUACUCUCACACUCCCAAUUGCUUUGGAUUGGGAGCGGUGGACUUGGGUGUUGCUGCUUGACUGAGGCUCACCUGAAAUAUGUUAGUGCACCUCUUUAUUGGACAUAGUACGGCGUGAUAAGUGUCUUCGCCGGCUCCUCGCAAAGAGGGUGGCCGAUCGGGAGCUCUGUUGCUUCAAACUGUCUUCGGACAAUCUUCUGGCGACUUGACCUCAAAUCGAGUAGGACUACCCGCUGAACUUAAGCAUAUCAAUAAGCGGAGGA